CAAUAGCGUAUAUUAAAGUUGUUGCGGUUAAAAAGCUCGUAGUUGGAUUUCUGCCGAGGACGACCGGUCCGCCCUCCGGGUGAGUAUCUGGUUUGGCCUGGGCAUCUUCUUGGAGAACGUAGCUGCACUUGACUGUGUGGUGCGGUGUCCAGGACUUUUACUUUGAGGAAAUUAGAGUGUUUCAAGCAGGCACACGCCUUGAAUACAUUAGCAUGGAAUAAUAAGAUAGGACCUCGGUUCUAUUUUGUUGGUUUCUAGAGCUGAGGUAAUGAUUAAUAGGGAUAGUUGGGGGCAUUCGUAUUUAACUGUCAGAGGUGAAAUUCUUGGAUUUGUUAAAGACGGACUGCUGCGAAAGCAUUUGCCAAGGAUGUUUUCAUUGA
rnacentral:rRNA from 1 species